UGGUCUUAAUGUUAUGGCUGAUCAGUGUAUGUCCCUGUACUUGUCUUCACUUGUUCUGCAGUCACUUAAAAAACAACAACCUGCAAGUUUGUGAGGAGAAAUGGCGUCGUCUUCCUGCCAUUGUGCAGGUGGAUAUGGCACAGACAAAGGAUUCUGUCAGUUAUACGUGGAGCUGAUUCCCUGACCGAUGGUGAAACUACAAAGCAGGAGUUCCGAGCAGUCAGACUCAUUCCACAUCCCUAUGAUGGACAUGCAAAUGAUAUCAUGCUCCCAAAGGCCUCGUCCUGCAGCAGGCCAUGACCCCUCUUAAGGUAAUGGGAGCUGAUCCAGGUGCUGCACCCUCUUCAUUAACACUCCUCUAACACAACGGACAAGACUGAUGUCAACACUCACAUAGGGGAAAUGUUGCAAAAUAUCUGCACAGUGUUUAAACCACUAUAUGUGUGUGUCUUUAUGUGACAAAUAAAAGAGAUCUUUCCAGAAAAUGAC